AUUUCCCGCUCUGGUUCAGGCGCAGGAGGAAGUGUUUUGCUGGAGGAUGAUGACAGAGGUCAGGCUUCGCUAAUGGGCCAGUGAGGAGCGGUGGAGGCGAGGCCGGGCGCCGGCACACACACAUUAACACACUUGAGCCAUCACCAAUCAGCAUAGGUGUGCUGGCUGCAGCCACUUCCCUCACCCACACUUUAUCUCUCACUCUCCAGCCGCUGACAGCCCAUUUUAUUGUCAAUCUCUGUCUUCUUCCCAGGAAUCUGAGAAUUGCUCUCACACACCAACCCAGCAACAUCCGUGGAGAAAACUCUCACCAGCAACUCCUUUAAAACACCGUCAUUUCAAACCAUUGUGGUCUUCAAGCAACAACAGCAGCACAAAAAACCCCAACCAAACAAAACUCUUGACAGAAGCUGUGACAACCAGAAAGGAUGCCUCAUAAAGCUCCCUAAGCCAUUUUGGACGUUUAACUCGAACUUGGGAAGGUUUUAGAAGGGGCUGGGAGCAGAAAAUGAAAUGAAAGGCAAAGAGCUUGAAAGCCUGGGGGAAGACUUUAACUAGGGGUGCGCAGAUGUGUGAGGCCUUUUAUUGUGAGAGUGGACAGACAUCCGAGAUUUCAGAGCCCCAUAUUCGAGCCCCGUGGAAUCCCGCG
rnacentral:sRNA from 1 species